UACGAAGGGGGGCUAGCGUUGUUCGGAAUUACUGGGCGUAAAGCGCACGUAGGCGGAUAUUUAAGUCAGGGGUAAAAAUCCCAGAGCUCAACUCUGGAACUGCCUUUGAUACUGGGUAUCUUGAGUAUGGAAGAGGUAAGUGGAAUUGCGAGUGUAGAGGUGAAAUUCGUAGAUAUUCGCAGGAACACCAGUGGCGGAAGGCGGCUUACUGGUCCAUAACUGACGCUGAGGUGGCGAAAGCGUGGGGAGCAAACAGG
rnacentral:rRNA from 1 species